UGCCGUAUAGUAUAAGGGUAGUACAGGAGGCUCUAACCCUCUUGGUCUGGGUUCGAAUCCUGGUGCGGUAA
rnacentral:tRNA from 1 species